rnacentral:rRNA from 1 species
UACGUAGGGUCCGAGCGUUAAUCGGAAUUACCGGGCGUAAAGCGUGCGCAGGUGGUUUUGUAAGCCAGAUGUGAAAUCCCCGGGCUCAACCUGGGAACUGCAUUUGGGACUGCAAGGCUAGAGUACGGCAGAGGGGGGUAGAAUUCCUGGUGUAGGCAGUGAAAUGCGUAGAUAUCAGGAGGAAUACCGAUGGCGAAGGCAGGUCUCUGGGCUGACACUGACGCUCAUGCACGAAAGCGUGGGGAGCAAACAGG